rnacentral:rRNA from 1 species
AACGAACGCUGGCGGCAUGCCUAACACAUGCAAGUCGAACGAGACCUUCGGGUCUAGUGGCGCACGGGUGCGUAACGCGUGGGAACCUGCCCUUAGGUUCGGAAUAACUCCCCGAAAGGGGUGCUAAUACCGGAUAAUGUCUUCGGACCAAAGAUUUAUCGCCUUUGGAUGGGCCCGCGUUGGAUUAGCUAGUUGGUAGGGUAAAAGCCUACCAAGGCGACGAUCCAUAGCUGGUCUGAGAGGAUGAUCAGCGACACUGGGACUGAGACACGGCCCAGACUCCUACGGGAGGCAGCAGUGGGGAAUAUUGGACAAUGGGCGAAAGCCUGAUCCAGCAAUGACGCGUGAGUGAUGAAGGCCUUAGGGUUGUAAAGCUCUUUUACCCGGGAUGAUAAUGACAGUACCGGGAGAAUAAGCUCCGGCUAACUCCGUG